CCUGGAGAAAUUUAUACCAGUGUAUGUGUUGUGCAUCUACUACCAUUGUCUGGAGUAGUGGAAAGGCUAGCCAAAAAUAAUUGCACUGUGCUUUGCAUUUCACCACCACAGCCCCCUCUCCCCACCUGUCAACUCUUAACUGCUCUUGAGGAGUGGACAAACCAUAUGACCCUUCCCUAUGCAAAGGAAAUGUGAAGGGGUGACAGCACCGCAGUUGUGCUGGAUCAUUGUCCUUCGCAGUUUGGCAAACAAAAUGCAUACUGGAAGCCCACCAAAGUACAUAAUGAAAACCCACCAAAGAACUGAGAUGCAUUGUAUGCACUGGUCAUAGAUUUGGAGGUACAAGUUGAUCCUUGUCUCUCCUGACCCUCUGGGUUGUGCUGGAUGUGGAGCAGGCACUUUGGAAACCAUCUCAGCAAAGUUGUCUACACAAGAAUAAUGAUGCAAACACCAUUAUGAGCGUAUGAAUGGGAAGCCAACCAAUACCGGCAGAGAAUCGAGGAGCUCAAGAUGGCAUACAAAGGACCUGAAGAUGGUGUGAGAUACAAACUGAGUGUUAUGAGAGGGCAAUGUGCUCAUUUUAUGAAAAGCAGCUCAAGAUCCUGUCAGGAGAAAACAUCACUUAGCCACAAUUUCUAACUCAACUCAUCUUCUGGCCCAAAACAGCGGAGGAGGGAGGCAUAUGGAGGAGGACUUUGGCAAGGGUGGAGAGAUGUGACUCCAGAAAGCCUUCACUUCUGUGAUAUCCAGAAGGAAAACCUGGUGCCCUAAACAGUGAAGGACUUCUGUGAUGGCACCAGCAUUGCUGAACCAGUGUCAACUGUUACAACUGUUCCAGAGAUACAGUCUUGUGCAUCACAGGCAGCUGCCUGACUUCCCUGCAGUCCCUGUCACUAAGGAUGAAGACCAGAGACCUGGGAAGACCUACCAUUUAAGGAUGAGACCCUGCUCCAGCUUUGAGUAGUCAGCAACAAGGAGGAGGAGGUGACAGCUGUUGAAGGAGGAACCAGUGGCCAAGCUGUGCACAUCCUCUGAGAGGUGGGCUGAAGCAACAGAGCAGUGUCAGGAACCUCUACAUUACUACCACGAUCAAAGCACUGCCCUGGUUGAUAGGGGAUCAGAGAGUCACCUGGGACAACCAAGUCUGUAAUCAGAAUUGAACAGGUCUCCAGGCUUGCAAAGGAGAUAGUUAUAUAGGUAGUGGACACCAUCCGGGAGGGUCUAAUGGAGGAGAGGGAGAGAUAUGGGUCUUUUGACAGUGAUGAUGAACUGCCAGACAGCAGUCCUGGAGGCUGCCUCUAGGAUGUCCACAGUGGGAACCUUCUACUAUGACCAGCAGCCACUCCCCUUCCUACAGUAGCACAGCAACACAGCCCACCCAUCCCCUUCACUCACUGAUGCCAGGCUCCACCAGAUGACCCCAAGUGUUCAAAGACAAAGUCCUUUCCUCCUCUAGACCAAAGUUUUCACCAACAGUUAUCCAUAUUCCAAUAACCGUUUGCAUACUCUAGCUUGCUGUCAGUGUUUCAUUAAGGGGACCCACCCUACCCCUCUAAGGACCAGCUAGUGUGCCUCAUGGAUCAAGAGCUGUCAGCACCCAAGGAAAACUUCUUUGAGCAGCUACAGUUCCACAGCAAUGCCCUGAAAGGCCAGGUGUUAUCUUAUUCAGGAGAGAUUGGUGCUGCCUAAGAUGCUCCCUUCCAUGAACGACUCAACCCUCCAGCAGACCUAAUGAUGCAACCCAACACACUGGGGCUGAGCAGGAAGUUCCUCUAAAGAUGGAAAAAAAGCACUUGAAAAAUUUCUAUCUGUACUUAUCCUAGACCCAAUUUUUGUAAACCACUGAGUUUUACCAGGUUGGAAUUUAAGUAAUUUCUGUUAUUUGUUCAUUAAAAAAAAAUUCAAGUUUUGGAA